GAUGAACGCUAGCGGCAGGCUUAAUACAUGCAAGUCGAGGGGCAGCAUGAGUGUAGCAAUACAUUUGAUGGCGACCGGCAAACGGGUGCGGAACACGUACUGAACCUUCCUUUAAGUGGGGAAUAGCCCAGGGAAACUUGGAUUAAUACCCCGUAACAUAAUGAAGUGGCAUCACUUUAUUAUUAUAGCUCCGGCGCUUAAAGAUGGCAGUGCGGCUGAUUAGGUAGUUGGCGGGGUAACGGCCCACCAAGCCUGCGAUCAGUAACUGGUGUGAGAGCACGACCAGUCACACGGGCACUGAGACACGGGCCCGACUCCUACGGGAGGCAGCAGUAAGGAAUAUUGGGCAAUGGACGCAAGUCUGACCCAGCCAUGCCGCGUGGAGGAUGAAGGUCCUCUGGAUUGUAAACUUCUUUUAUAUGGGACGAAAAAGGGUCUUUCUAGAUCAACUGACGGUACCAUAUGAAUAAGCACCGGCUAACUCCGUGCCAGCCGCCGCCGUAACAC
rnacentral:rRNA from 1 species